rnacentral:rRNA from 1 species
UACGUAGGGUGCAAGCGUUAAUCGGAAUUACUGGGCGUAAAGCGUGCGCAGGCGGUUUUGUAAGUCUGUCGUGAAAGCCCCGGGCUCAACCUGGGAAUUGCGAUGGAGACUGCAAGGCUUGAAUCUGGCAGAGGGGGGUAGAAUUCCACGUGUAGCAGUGAAAUGCGUAGAGAUGUGGAGGAACACCGAUGGCGAAGGCAGCCCCCUGGGUCAAGAUUGACGCUCAUGCACGAAAUCGUGGGGAGCAAACAGG